rnacentral:rRNA from 1 species
GAUGAACGCUGGCGGCGUGCCUAACACAUGCAAGUCGAACGAACAGAAGAGGAAGUUUCCCCCCGGACGUUCGCGGCGGACGUGUUAGUAAAACGUUGAUAACCUACCUAUUAAACUGGGAUAACUUCGGGAAACCUCAUCUAAUACCAGAUAAUAUAUUGAACCGCAUGGUUCAAUAGUGUAAGACGUUUUUGCUGUCUCUUAUAGAUUGAUCUGCGCCGCAUUAGCUACUUGUUAAUGUAACGGCUUACAAAGACGACGAUGAGUAGCAGACUUGAGAGGGUAAGAGGCCACACUGGAACUGAGAAGCGGACCAGAAUACUACGGGAGGCAGCAGUAGCGAAUCUUCAGCAAUGGGAGAAAGCCUGACGGAGCAACGACGCGGGAAUGAUGAAGGUCUUGAGGUCGUAAGACUCUGUUAGUAGGGAAGAACAAAUGUGUAAGUAUCUAUGCACAUCUUGACGGUACCUAAUCAGAAAGCCACGGCUAACUACGUG